rnacentral:tRNA from 1 species
GUGGCAGAGGAAUGCAAAGAUUUUAAGAGUCUUUUAUGAAAUUUAUUUCC